rnacentral:rRNA from 1 species
UUUCCCUAGCUAACGGCGAGCGAACCGGGAAAGAGCCCAGCUUGAAAAUCGUGGUGCCUCGCGCCUCGAAUUGUAGUCUGGAGAAGGUCCCUCUGCGACGCGCCGGACCCAAGUUCCCUGGAAAGGGACGUCAUCGAGGGUGACAACCCCGUCCGCGCCCGGAACGCGUCGCUCCACGAGGACCUGUCUGCGAGUCGGGCUGUUUGGGAAUGCAGCCCUAAGCGGGAGGUAAAUUCCUUCCAAGGCUAAAUAUGGGCAAGAGACCGAUAGCGAACAAGUACCGCGAGGGAAAGAUGAAAAGGACUUUGAAAAGAGAGUUAAAAAGUGCUUGAAAUUGCUGGGAGGGAAGCGAAUGGAAGCUGCGGGUGCGCCCCGGUUGGAUGUGGAACGGCUUCGGCUGGUCCGCCGCUCAACGCGGGGCGCUGGUCAGCGUGGGCCGUCGCGCCGGGACAAGAGCAGGGAUCCGCUUCCUGCCUAUGCCGGUGCGGUGGCCGAGGAACGAAGCGCGCGCCUCACGGCGUGGGUUCGCCCAACUGCGCGCUCGGGACGCUGGCGUAUUGAGCUCUUCAUCCGACCCGUCUUGAAACACGGACCAAGGAGUCUAACAUGUAUGCGAGCCGGUGGGCGGCAAACCCAUUGAGGCGCAAGUAAACUGACAGGUGGGACCCCGACCGCGAGGGAGGGAGCACCAUCGACC